CUCGUGCCUUUUGGGUUCUAAUGUUAGGACCCGCCAUAGAACAGCUUUUUGGUCGCUCAUGCAACAUCUUGGUAUUGUAUAGUCUUUGAUUGGAUGUAUUUAAAGUUACAGGGCUCAGAUGUGUCUAAGCAUGGUAUAAUACAUGAUUUGGGUCGCGCAAAGGAAAUCCUGUCUAGAAGCAAGGAAUUAAAUACCUCACUCGAAGCUCCUCGCUUAGAUAUGCCAGCUACCAAGCGAUUUAUUGCUGCUGGAAUGCAUACACGUUUUGUGGACAUGGGGGGCGUUA